rfam:Gossypium hirsutum cultivar TM-1 unplaced genomic scaffold scaffold2046.1, whole genome shotgun sequence
UGUUAAAAAUUUCAUUCAUUUAUAUUGUUAAAAACUGAUAUGGCUAACAAAAUAACUAAAUUGUGGCAUGUAACGUGUGACUGUCACAUGUACUCCAUGUUGACGUAAAAGGACAAGUUUUUAACAGUAAAAAUGGAUAAAAUUUUUAAUA